GAUUAUUUUUCAUCUUCUCACCUUCCUCGGCUCGAAAAUUCCUCACCUUUCAUCUGUCGGAUCGAAAAUUCCAUCGCUGAAGAUGAUUCUGUUUAAUCAACAUUCAGCUUCGCUUUUAAGAUGGUUUAAGUUAGCAGAUUGAGAAACUAUAUCAAGUACUAUAGAUUUUCCAAUCUCGUCCAUCAAUUCUGAUCUUCUUCAGAACGUUCUCCAUGACAAUCAAUACAGUGUUGGUUCAGACAAUCAACAAAGGACCCUGAUAUGUCGACAGAGAAGGGGACAGCAGCUCGAAGAUGCGCCAAGGGGAGUAUUCUACAAAUCUCGAUGACCUUACAUUGCUCAAACUCCUUGUACAGAAUCACGGUGGUUUAAGUGACCUGAAACCUGAAGAAUACUAUGAUUCGGCUCCGAGAUUGUGUAAGUAAACCUUCUAUAGUUUAACAAUCAACCUUUUAGAAAAAGUUUGUAUCAGUUUUUUAGUUGUGAAGACGAUUUGAUUACAAAUACUGUUGCAGUUCGUUUCUUUGGGGUUUAUCAAUUUAUAAAUUUUUGCUGCUGACACUUGAUUUGAGUUAUCAUCGCAUUGGAAAUUUGUUUGUGUAAACUCCUGAGAUUUUUCAUCUACUUUAUUAUGGUUAUAUACCUUUAUAAUAGUUACCUUUUCUCUGCAAUGUACUAAUAUAAAUUCGUUCACUUAUUCAAAUGUUGCAUGUGAGACGUACUAAGGAGGAACAUGUGCCUGCGACUGAGGAAGAGAGUAUGGUGUGAGGCUUCAGAAAAAAAGUAAAGGUGGCAGAGAACAAAGGACGGAUCAAGUCUUUACCAAAAAGUGAAGGUUAUUGAAGUGACAGAACUUCUCUUUUCCGGAAGAAUGGUAGCUGCAGUAUAGAUGUAAAACACACUUCUGAUAUAAGUCAAUCACAGAAGCUUGGGAAAUAAGAGUAAUCUUCCAACUUCCUCAAAAACACACAGCUCAUGGCUUUUAUUGGAUCAUUGGAGAAGGAUUCAUGUCAUAUUAUUUUGGCCCAAGACGUUGAAGACUGAUGUUUAUGAUUAGUCGAUUUUUUUUAUCCUUGUGUCCAAACGUCUGUUUUUUUUUAAUUCUCCUAUCACAGUUGCCAAACAUAUUGAAGUAGUACUUCUACUUUAAUAAGA